rnacentral:rRNA from 1 species
CCUACGGGAGGCAGCAGUGGGGAAUAUUGCACAAUGGGCGGAAGCCUGAUGCAGCAACGCCGCGUGCGGGAUGACGGCCUUCGGGUUGUAAACCGCUUUCGCCUGUGACGAAGCGUGAGUGACGGUAAUGGGUAAAGAAGCACCGGCUAACUACGUGCCAGCAGCCGCGGUGAUACGUAGGGUGCGAGCGUUGUCCGGAUUUAUUGGGCGUAAAGGGCUCGUAGGUGGUUGAUCGCGUCGGAAGUGUAAUCUUGGGGCUUAACCCUGAGCGUGCUUUCGAUACGGGUUGACUUGAGGAAGGUAGGGGAGAAUGGAAUUCCUGGUGGAGCGGUGGAAUGCGCAGAUAUCAGGAGGAACACCAGUGGCGAAGGCGGUUCUCUGGGCCUUUCCUGACGCUGAGGAGCGAAAGCGUGGGGAGCGAACAGGCUUAGAUACCCCGGUAGUC